rnacentral:lncRNA from 1 species
AUGGCCAAGUCCAAGAACCACACCACACACAACCAGUCCCAAAAAUGGUACAGAAAUGACAUCAAGAAACUGUGAUAACAAAGAUACAAACCUCUUAAUGGGGUAGACCCCAAGUUCCUGAGGAACAUGUGCUUUGCCAAGAAGCACAACAAGAAGGGCGUGAAUAAGAAGCGGGCCAACAGUACCAAUGCCAUGUGUCUGUAUGCCAAGUCUAUCAAAGUCCUCAAAAAGGCCAAGGAGGUUAAGUCCCAAAUCCCAAAGCACAUCAUCCAGAAGCUCAAUUGACUUGCCUACAUUGCCUACCCCAAGCUCGGGAAGCGUGCUCCUGCCUGCAUUGCCAAGGGUCUUACCUCUGCCCACCCAAGACCAAGGCCAAGUCUCAAAUCAAGGCCCUGCAGCCCCAGCUUUGGCUGCAGCUCCAGCUGCAUUUCCAGCUCUAGCU